GCCUGGGUCGCAUAACUUGGUAAUUGCGAGGGACUAAGGAUCCCUGACCUACCAAGGUCCUGCGGGUUCGAAUCCCGUCCCAGGCG
rnacentral:tRNA from 1 species